rnacentral:rRNA from 1 species
UCCUUCGGGAGCUGAGUAAAGUGGCGGACGGGUGCGUAACACGUAGGCAAUCUGCCCUCGGGUGGGGGAUAACCUCUCGAAAGGGAGGCUAAUACCGCAUGAGACUACCAGUCACUCCGGUGGCAGUGGUCAAAGCUGGCCUCUCCAUGGAAGCUAGCGCCUGAGGAUGAGCCUGCGGCCCAUCAGUUUGUUGGUAGGGUAACGGCCUACCAAGGCGAAGACGGGUAGCUGGUCUAAGAGGAUGAUCAGCCACACUGGCACUGAAACACGGGCCAGACUCCUACGGGAGGCAGCAGUGGGGAAUCUUGGACAAUGGGCGAAAGCCUGAUCCAGCGACGCCGCGUGGGUGAUGAAGGCCUUCGGGUUGUAAAGCCCUGUGGGGAGGAAAGAAAAAGGUCCGUUCGAAUAGGGCGGGCCCUUGACGGUACCUCUUCAGCAAGCGCCGGCCAACUCUGUGCCAGCAGCCGCGGUAAGACAGAGGGCGCGAACGUUGCUCGGAAUUACUGGGCGUAAAGCGCGUGUAGGCGGAUAGGCAAGUCAGGUGUGAAAGCCCUGGGCUCAACCCAGGAACAGCACCUGAAACUGCUUGUCUAGAGUAGUGGAGAGGGAAGUGGAAUUCCUGGUGUAGAGGUGAAAUUCGUAGAUAUCAGGAGGAACACCGGUGGCGAAGGCGGCUUCCUGGACACUUACUGACGCUGAGACGCGAAAGCGUGGGGAGCAAACAGGAUUAGAUAC